CAAAAUCACAAGUCGAACACUUCCCACGUGUCUAGGACUGUGUGAUGUAUUUUCAGAUGAUGUGUGCAGAUCCCAGUAGGGUGGCCUUUUGCAGUUGGCAGAUCGUAAUUUUGUCAAUGCCUAUUGUUUCCAAAUGCCGGCUGAGAUCUUUUGGCAUGGCACCCAAUGUGCCUAUCACCACCGGGACCACCUGUACUGGUUUCUGCCAGAGUCUUUGAAGUUCAAUCUUGAGACCUGAUAGCGGCUGAGUUUUUCCUGUUGUUUUUCGUCAAUGCGAUUGUCACCUGGUAUAGCAACAUCAAUGAUCCAAACCUUUUUCUUUUCCACAACUGUGAUGUCUGGUGUGUUGUGUUCCAGAACUUUGUCAGUCUGGAUUCGGAAGUCCCACAGUAUCUUUGCGUGCUCAUUUUCCAAUACUUUUGCAGGUUUGUGAUCCCACCAGUUCUUUGUUGCUGGGAGGUGGUACUUGAGGCAUAGGUUCCAAUGAAUUAUUUGGGCCACAUAGUUGUGCCUCUGUUUGUAGUCUGUCUGUGCGAUUUUCUUACAGCAGCUGAGGAUGUGAUCAAUGGUUUCAUCUGUUUCCUUGCACAGUCUGCAUUUUGGGUCAUCAGCUGAUUUUUCGAUCUUGGCCUUAAUUGCAUUUGUCCUGAUGGCUUGCUCCUGGGCUGCAAGGAUCAGGCUUUCUGUCUCCUUCUUCAAGGUCCCAUUUGUGAGCCAUAGCCAGGUCUUCUCCUUAUCAGCUUUUCCUUCAAUUUUGUCAAGGAACUUUCCAUGUAAUGUUUUAUUGUGCCAGCUGUCAGCUCUAGUUUGUAGUGUGGUUUUCUUGUACUGGUUUUUUGUCUGCUGUGCUUUGAGGAGUUUCUGAUUUUUGACUUCAAUCAAAGCAGGUUUUUCACUUUGCUUUACAUAUUCUGUUAUCAUCAUCAUCAUCAUCUUCACCAUCUUUCAGUUACAAAUAAUAGGGUCUUUCUUCCUUAAACAUGUCAGAAUCAGGUUCCUAUGAAUUCCUUGUUAAGAGCUUCUUUGCCACAUAGACCUUUCUGUCUGAACCAACAUUCUUGGUCUUCAUCACCCCCCAUAACUGAAGCCCUAUAACUGAAGCCAGAACUCUGUUCUCUCUCUGUGUGUUAUACCCCCCACCCCUUCUAGUAGGCAGCAUGAAAAAGUCUGCCUGUGGAAAAGAUUUGUGGAGCAAAAUAAACCAGUAUGUGUCUGUGGCUCUCCCACAUAUUACAACCAAGGAAAACAAUGUUUUGCUCAAUAUUCUGCAUAGAGCUGCCAAUGAAUUUCACUUGUAAUGAAAGGAGAAAUGCAGUAGGAAAGUGAGAUAUACUUUAUCAAAAAGUAUAUCUCACUUGAGUGGUGUGCGGACUUCUCUUCAUUUUUGUCAGUCCACAGAACAACUAAGGCCCCUUCCACAAAGCUGAAGAAGAUCCCACAUUAUCUGCUUUGAACUGCAAUAUAUGGCAGUGUGGACUCAGAUAACCUGGUUCAAAGCAAAUAGUGUGGGAUUUUCUGCCUUGAUAUUCUGGGUUAUGUGGCUGUGUGGAAGGGCCCUAUGAGAGCUUGGUUAUGAUGAGAGUUUAUGAUAGUUUAAGCAAGAGCACAAAAUAACUAUGAUUUUUUUCGGUUUCAGGAGCAACUUGAGAAACUACAAUUUGCUUAUGAUGUGAGAGAAUUGGCGGUCUGAAAGGACGUUGCCCAGGGAAUGCCUGAAUGUUUGAUGUUUUACCAUCCUGUGGGAGGCUUCUCUCAUGUCCCUGCAUGGAGCUGGAGCUGACAGAGUUCACCCCGCUUCCUGGAUUCGAACCACCGAUCUUUUGGUCAACCCAUUGCGCCACCGGGGACUCCUACUAUGAUAAUAUUAUAAAAUAAUGAUAAAAUAUUGACAUAGAGAUGAGUUCUUUCUCCCUUGCAGAUCUUUAACAGCUCUGCCUCAUCCAUCUCAGUCUCUGCUCCUCCCACCAAUGAGAUGUUCAAGUGAGACGCCUUCUUUAUGAGCUGCUUUCCUUCAAGAUGUGGGUGAAUUGGGUAUCUUCUUCACUUCUUCAUAGAAGCCAUGUGGUGGGAGGUGGUGAGCAUCUUGGCAUGUUUGCAACUGUUGGCUGGUGUUUGCCAUGCAGUGACUGUGACACAAAAAGAACGGUACAAAAUCAUCCAGGUGGGAAUCCAGACAAGUAUUGACUGCAAUCACAAUGACAACACCUACUUGACUAUCCUUUGGUAUCGACAGGACAGCAACAGCGCAGACAGGACACUGCAGCUAGUUGGCUACUCUGUCCAUGGGAAUGACCCAGAGAUGACUAUGACCACCUACACCAUACAUGCAUCCCUUUCUGUCCCCGCAAGACAGGCUGCAGACUCAGCAGUGUAUUUCUGUGCAGUUGGAAAGGCACAGCGAGCACUUCUUGCCUCACAGCUGCACAUGAACGUUGGAGUAGCCCCGCCUCCACCCAUCUGAGCCACAACUGCAUAAAACCCAACCAUGUCCUGGAUAAUAUUUCCAAAGACGGUGGGAAACACAGCAGCUGCAGCUGCUCCUGUCUUAUCAUAAUAUUCGCCAGUCGGAUUCUGGGUUAAAUAAAUCAUGAUGCUUAAACUUUCUGCUUAAUAGCCAAAACAACGUUCAGUUUUUGUGACAUUCAAGUACAGUCCAAGCUGCCAAGGCUAACAUGUUCCACAUACGUGGCUUCCAAAAUCCAGACAGCCUGACCUGCACAUUAAACAAAAUGCGCUCAAGCAUAAAAUCAAAAACAUUAAUGAGUUUUGUGUACUUUUGCUCUGUGCAUGGUUUCAUAAAAAAAAAACCCUCGCAGAAAAUCUAGGAGAAAUGAGUUAAUUCUUUUUAGAUCUGGAGGUUUGGGAAUUUGUGACCCUCAAGCUAUAGUUCAACUGCAGCUCCCAUGUCUCAUCAACAGAGGAAAUGGCAAGGUGGGCAGCUGUAGUCAGAAAAAAAUACCAACAAGGCCACUACUGAGUCAAAUAAUAAAGGUAAAGAUUUUCCUCGGCAUUAAGUUUAGUUGUGUGUCCAACUCUUGGGGUUGGUGCUCAUCUCCAUUUCUAAGCUGAAGAGCCGGCGUUGUCCGUAGACAUCUUCAAGGUCAUGUGGCCGGCAUGACUGCAUAGAAUGCUGUUACCUUCCUGCUGGAGCGGUACCUAUUGAUUUACUCAUAUUUGCAUGUUUUUGAACUGCUAGGUUGGCAGAAGCUGGGGCUAACAGCGAGAGCUCACCCCGCUCCCCGGAUUCGAACCACCAACCUUUUGGUCAGCAAGUUCAGCAGCUCAGUGGUUUAACCUGCUGUGUCAUCAGGGGAUCCGAGUCAAAUAAUACACAUAUAAUAAUCAAAGCCUUAGAAUUGUAAGUAUGGUACUACUUCAAUGAAAACUACACAAUACAAGUGCCAUGCAUAUACAGUGCUUCCUCUCUCUGUCAGCAAUGGGUUUGGAAUUCUUUCACCAAAUUUCUAACACCAGAGCAGAUUCUGAAACAUUAAUUUUGGAAUGUAACACCCAGAAUCCACCAGUCAUUUGAUCACUGACCUUAACUGCGCCUUCACGCAGAUCUAUGUCUUGUUCAGACAUGCAAGCAAGUGUAUUGUACUUCUUAUUGUAUAAAGCAUGACACGAUCAAAUUGGAAGUUCCAACUGGGCACGGAUCAUAUUUUUCAUAAACUGCAUCACAGGAAGUGUGACGGCGCGAGUGGCGCCAUCUAUAUGUCAAACUAUAAGUUUCAAGAUCUGAAUUGUUGUAUCAUGCCUGAUUUUGCCCUUACCCUGUAAAUGUAGUUGGAUUGGUUAUUUAUAUCUGUCAAUCAAUGUUGUUUGUACCUGUUAUAUUGCUCACUCAGCAAAACUGUUUGGCUCCACCUCUUCCUGGAGUAGGACUGUGUUUCCUCCUUUUCAUUCCAUCAGCAAGUUCUCUAUCGGAUGGACGUGAAAGAGAGGCUUAGCUCAAAAAGCCCUUCAAAAGUUACCUCUCAGCACCAAUUCUGAGGUUCUUACCCUUGGGACUCACACUUCGUGUUCAGGGCCAACCUGAACAAUGUUGAGGAGUCUCAAGCGCCUUCACAUCAGUCCUUUGGCAACAGAGGAAGACUCUUGUCUUCAGACAUAGGUCAUUGGACUGAGGCUGAGUUUGCUCCGGCAUUCACAGCCAGAGAAAGAGGGAUCUGGACAAGCUUCAUGGACUUAAACAAUCAAAGACUGUAAUGUAUAUUUUCUUUUAUCCCCUUUGUGAACAAUAAACCCAGUUUUUGAGUUAA